rnacentral:rRNA from 1 species
UACGGGGGGGGGGCAAGCGUUGUUCGGAAUUACUGGGCGUAAAGGGCUCGUAGGCGGCCAACUAAGUCGGACGUGAAAUCCCUCGGCUCAACCGGGGAACUGCGUCCGAUACUGGAUGGCUUGAGUUCGGGAGAGGGAUGCGGAAUUCCAGGUGUAGCGGUGAAAUGCGUAGAUAUCUGGAGGAACACCGGUGGCGAAGGCGGCAUCCUGGACCGACACUGACGCUGAGGAGCGAAAGCCAGGGGAGCAAAACGGGG